rnacentral:tRNA from 1 species
AGCCCUGGCUGUGCAGUGGUUAAGCUCUUGGCUGCUAACCAAAAGAUUGGUGGUUCGAGCCCACCGGCUA